GCAAGUCGUACGCUGAAGCCUGCUUCGGUGGGUGGAUGAGUGGCGAACGGGUGAGUAACACGUGGGUAAUCUGCCUUGUACUCUGGGAUAAGCCCGGGAAACUGGGUCUAAUACCGGAUAGGACCAUUCCUCGCAUGGGGGGUGGUGGAAAGCUCCGGCGGUAUGAGUUGAGCCCGCGGCCUAUCAGCUUGUUGGUGGGGUGAUGGCCUACCAAGGCGGUGACGGGUAGCCGGCCUGAGAGGGUGACCGGCCACACUGGGACUGAGACACGGCCCAGACUCCUACGGGAGGCAGCAGUGGGGAAUAUUGCACAAUGGGCGCAAGCCUGAUGCAGCGACGCCGCGUGAGGGAUGACGGCCUUCGGGUUGUAAACCUCUUUCGCCAGGGACGAAGGGUGAUACUGACGGUACCUGGAGAAGAAGCACCGGCUAACUACGUGCCAGCAGCCGCGGUAAUACGUAGGGUGCAAGCGUUGUCCGGAAUUAUUGGGCGUAAAGAGCUCGUAGGCGGUGUGUCGCGUCUGCCGUGGAAACCUACAGCUUAACUGUGGGCGUGCGGUGGAUACGGGCAUCACUUGAGUUCGGCAGGGGAGACUGGAAUUCCUGGUGUAGCGGUGGAAUGCGCAGAUAUCAGGAGGAACACCGGUGGCGAAGGCGGGUCUCUGGGCCGAUACUGACGCUGAGGAGCGAAAGCGUGGGGAGCGAACAGGAUUAGAUACCCUGGUAGUCCACGCUGUAAACGUUGGGCGCUAGGUGUGGGGUGCUGUCCACGUACUC
rnacentral:rRNA from 1 species